GUCGACCUGAACGGUUGUCCGUUCAAGUUAAACGUUGUCGUCAACUGCAUGCAUUACAUUCGUGGGAAAAAAGAAAUUAGCAAAGGUCUGAAGGCCAUCCGUUUCGUCACAUCCCAAAACGUCUCACACUGAACACGUGGAUUAAAAGCAAUGGCGACUGUUCUCACCCAUUCCCAAGGAGGCUUAGAAAUCGUAGUUGGAAAGGCAUGUUGGAUUUUACGGUGAAUUCGAAUUCUUGUAGCAAAAUGGCGCUACUGCCUCAAAGAGAUUCUCAUCUCCCUCAAUGCUGAAGGAAGCAAAAACUUGACGAUCUCCUUUGCCCGUUCAUGUCUCAAGGACAAUCUCGCAUCCAUGGUCUACAAAACAGCUUACGUAGCAUGCGUUGCCAUUCAACCUGAUACACUUUCUCGGAAAUGCAGCAAGGAGGGCACACUGGAUUUUCUCGAGUGUUCAUCGAAAAAUUCUCCGCAGUGAAAUGAGUUGAUCAAUAGAACUCUUCAAGGAGUUUCAAUAUCCGAGCUGUUUUAUCGGUGACCUUUCUUCUUGCCAAGGAGACUUACGACUACAGCUCGAAGGAAAUUGUUUGACUUCACAAUAGCUUCAAAGAUGUAAGAUGGGAAGGUGGCAUAUGCACAUUGCAUCAAUUCUGCCAUGUGGCGAUGCUGCAAUGGGCGGGAAACCAGAGUUACUCUGAGGUCGGAGCAAAUUCUUCCAUACCCUACAAAACUCAAGUUUUCAGUUGAGUCAGUUCUAGACUGUUGAAUGUCUUCCUAGAUGUGCAUGAUUUACAGCUGGCAUCUCAUGGCAAUAUUUUCAUCUUAGGAGGCAGAAUAUUUCUCAGCCCAAUUGCUCGGUGCUGUUCUGUUGAGAAGCUGCUGAGCUGUCAUGUCAAUGAGAUAACCAGCGAGUGCAUGGCAACUGAAGUGGAAGAACUCUGCAAGUGCUAGGCAAUACUUUAGGUUGUUACCUUUGUGUUAGACUUCCAACAUGGAAAAUGGAAGACUAGUGGCCUCACCCACCGUCAUAAGAAUAGCUGUGCUCAUCGAUCAACUCGUUAUGAAUGCAGCAAUUCUUCAUGCUCCAACUUGAAAUGUUCAUGUUCGAUGGAUUUAGUCGUUUACGAAAAAGUGGAGCUGAAUUUUGAUAUUACAUGGGGAUCGUCUCUAGCUGUCUGCAGAAUUAUUGGAAGAGCGAUAAAAGAAAAGAGCUUCAGUCCAAAUCAGCCGCGAGUGCAUAGUGGUUUCGCGGUUUAUGGUGCUAUCAUCAUAUCAAUAGAACCCGAAAUGCUGAGGGAGGAACUCUUUUCAAAUCUUAAUACAUUGGAGGAACGCUGGUGCUGUCGUCAAAAC